rnacentral:rRNA from 1 species
GACAGAGGGGGCAAGCGUUGCUCGGAAUUACUGGGCGUAAAGGGCGCGUAGGCGGGAUGGCAAGUCGGUCGUGAAAUCCCUCGGCUCAACUGAGGAGCGUCGAUCGAAACUGCCGUUCUUGAGGGUUGCAGAGGAGACUGGAAUUCCCGGUGUAGCGGUGAAAUGUGUAGAGAUCGGGAGGAACACCGGUGGCGAAGGCGGGUCUCUGGGCAACAACUGACGCUGAGGAGCGAAAGCGUGGGGAGCGAACAGG